CAAGUCGAACGCGAAAGUUCCCUUCGGGGGGCGAGUAGAGUGGCGCACGGGUGAGUAACACGUAGGUAAUCUACCUUUGGAUUGGGAAUAACAACCGGAAACGGUUGCUAAUACCGAAUAAUGCAGCGGCACCUAAUGGUGACAGUUGUUAAAGCGGGGGAUCGCAAGACCUCGCGUCUGAAGAGGAGCCUGCGGCAGAUUAGCUAGUUGGUAAGGUAACGGCUUACCAAGGCGAUGAUCUGUAGCCGGCCUGAGAGGGCGGUCGGCCACACUGACACUGACAUACGGGUCAGACUCCUACGGGAGGCAGCAGUCGGGAAUUUUGGGCAAUGGGCGCAAGCCUGACCCAGCAACGCCGCGUGAAGGAUGAAAUCCCUCGGGAUGUAAACUUCGCAAGAACGGGAAGAAUAAGUAGGGGUUAAUAUCCCUUAUGAUGACGGUACUGUUUGUAAGCUCCGGCUAACUCCGUGCCAGCAGCCGCGGUAAUACGGGGGGAGCAAGCGUUGUUCGGAUUUACUGGGCGUAAAGGGCGCGUAGGCGGCCACCGCAAGUCGGUUGUGAAAUCUCCGGGCUUAACCCGGAAAGGUCAAUCGAUACUGCGGGGCUAGAGUGCAGAAGGGGCAACUGGAAUUCUCGGUGUAGCGGUGAAAUGCGUAGAUAUCGAGAGGAACACCUGCGGCGAAGGCGGGUUGCUGGGCUGACACUGACGCUGAAGCGCGAAAGCUAGGGGAGCGAACGGGAUUAGAUACCCCGGUAGUCCUAGCCUUAAACGAUGAAUGCUUGGUGUCUGGGGUUUUAUAGUCCCCGGGUGCCGUCGCUAACGCUUUAAGCAUUCCGCCUGGGGAGUACGGUCGCAAGACUGAAACUCAAAGGAAUUGACGGGGACCCGCACAAGCGGUGGA
rnacentral:rRNA from 1 species